UAUGACUACAUCAUAAAAAAUGGUGCCAACAACACGAGCGUGUUCCUCCCUUUGACAAGCUGGCCUUGAAAAAGGCAAUAGCAAGUCCGUUUCACACGCCAACAUCUUCGGGUUCGAUGUGCCUUGUGUUGAUCCUCUCUCUCUCCUUCGCGAUUUUGGGUUAUGCGGGGUAUAUAUCUGUGAUGUGGAGAGCAGGUAUGCGAUGGAGGUCGGCGUUGACACGACCACAACCAUACACCCAAAUCUGCAAAACGUAGAUCUUGUUUUUUCUUGAUGGGAAGAAAACGGAAAAAUGAACGCAUCAUCCAAGGCUCCAAACACGCGAUUCGCUCUUUCAAAUUCCAUCAUCUUCAAAGGUUAUUUUGUUGUCUGCGUUCUAUGAGCAUCAAUGAUUAAUAAGAGGAAGGAGCGGGGAGUAGACUAAGCGGAGGAGGAACAAAAUUAACCGUUACCUUACACAAAUCAAAGAACC
rnacentral:lncRNA from 1 species